rnacentral:lncRNA from 1 species
CUGCAGCUCUGACUGUUCUCUGGGUCUCCAGCCUGAUGGCCUCCUUGCAGAUUUGGAACUUGCCAGCUCUGCAAUUAUUUUCAUGGUAUGCAGAUUUGAAUAAGAAACAAAGUGGAAGAAAAAAGUGAAGGAAAGAGAAGAGGAGAAGAAAUCUGGAAGGAAUGAGAAACAAAAUAGGAAGGAAGAAAAGGAACAUCUUCAUUGAGGUCCAGUCCCUUUAUGGAAUCUCAUUAACUAACCACAUGGGCUGUUCUGCUUUAUCCAACAACAUCAGCAAUGGAGGCAGUUUCCUGCUACAGAGAGAAGCAUCAGGCUCUGGAGGAAAAGAGUCUAGAGUGAUACACAGUAAACUCUCUAUGAGGUCCUGUGGCUGCCCCCUGGGAAAGCAUGUGGAGGAGGCUCUUACUCAGGUGAUAAAUGAAGGUUCGGCAGAUCUCUUGGGAAGAGAACACAGGACACAGCAACGGUUAAAAAUUGGACUACUUUAUUUUUAG